GGGCGAUUAGCUCAGUUGGUAGAGAAUCUCCCUUACAAGGAGGGGGUCACUGGUUCGAGCACGGUAUCGCCCACCA
rnacentral:tRNA from 1 species